AUUAGGGCAGUACUGAAACCCAUCACCCUGGAUUUUUACCUGAUGAUCUUUUCUUUUACAGUGCAGUGGAAAAGGCAGUAGGUUUGUGCUAUGUUCCUUUGAAUUGCAUGAGGUGAAUACUUAAGGAAGAAGGAAGACUGGACUUCCCUGUAAGAGAGUAUAUAGCAAGAGGAAGAACUGCC